UCCAUAUACUACAGAGACAUGUUUGAAGCCUCUUCCACGGAUUUACCUGAUGAUUGUGCCAGGGGGGUAAAUAUGCUGAUAACAAGACGAGUCUGGCCAGGGUGAUUUUAAUUAAGGAUCUACGCUCCAUGGCCAGUACAAGACACUGCACCACUGAGGUUGUCUGCAUAUUCCCCCACAGCCUUAUUUUCAAUAGAGAACAUGGAAAACACAAUUGAAACAGAAAUAAUAUCAAAUUAAGGAACAGCACAGACAGUAUCAUGGGCCCGAGAAUGACAGUCGACAAGAUAACAUUCAUGCACGUGAGCUGGUUGGGUCAACUUUAACCAACCGCUGAUAAAAUAUUCAUUUCACUGUUGUCAAAUUACAAAACAUAACAUUUUCUCAAAUAAGUAUUAUCAAGACAAUAUGCAGUAAUGGGCGGUCUUCUGAAAAUCUCAAUUCAGGCCUUCUUGUGGUGGAAUUUGCACUUUUCCCCUGUGCUGAUGUGGAUUUUCUCUGGCUUUCUCCUGUUUGAAAUUGUGACACAAGUCCUGGAACCUUUCUAAUACACCUCAUAUUUUACUAUUGUGUAUGAAUGCACUACAUGCAAUAAGUGAUUCUCAACCGGUGUGUCCCGAGACAACAUUAUGUAUGCCACAGGAAACUAUUAUUACUCUACCAUGGUCUGGAAUCCUGCUAUUGCUUGUAGUAUUUGUAUACACUUGGAUUGCUUCAAACUGAGAGGAGUCACUUUGAACAGCUGGUCACCAGUGUAUCAGUGGGAACUGUAGUCAUGCCAAUGCUCCCAGCAAACAGCACCACUGUCAACAUGAAACAUGAUCAGUAUGGGGGUUUCCAUGAAAACAAAACUAAGAACCCCGCCCCCAAAAUAGCCAUAAAGUAUGUACAGUAUGUGUACACACACACACACACACACACACACACACACACACACACACACACACGCUACAUACUGUGAAUGCAUUGUUUAUUGAUAUUCAAAAUAGGCGAGGGGAUGACGUGUAAAUGUUUUAAAUUAGUAUAUGUAGCCAUUAAAUUUCGUCUAAUCAAUUUACAUCGUGUUGAAUCGUUAUUUCCGUACCCAGUGGAGGCAGAAUGAUUUCACCUCUCAAUAUGUAACAGCAGGGGGCGCAAAAAUGCAGAUUUCCUUCCCAAAGAGGCUGAAGAAGAAAUCAAAAAAGUCCAGCUCACAAUCAGAUUUUAUCAUGAAGAAUUGUCAGGAGCCGUAUUUGUCUUUCAUGUUAUUAUGAAAAUAGUGUUAGGAAAAGUGCGACUUGAAUGAAUAUGGACAAGGCCUCUGUUAUGGAUUUCUAGCAUUCCCUAUUGCAACUGUAGCUGGAAAAAAAUAUUAGCCACAUCCCUGAAAAUGUGGCUGAUUGUGCACCCCUGGGAAAAGCGGGAUUUGGUGCAAUGUGUUAUUCUGGCCAGGACUCCUGGUAUGGGUUUGGAGAUUUUCCCGGCCUGUGUUUUCAAAAGAGGCCGUGCCCCCCAGAUGGAAAUGCAAAUUUUAGACAAUGGGAAGAACCAAUUAUAUAAAAUGGAGAGGCGGGAGAGAAUGGGGCUUUAUGCCAUUCCUGGCCCCUUUUUAUAGUCUUAAAACCUUUUAUUUUCGUCAAGAAAUGUUUAACAUGUUCAACUUUUGAGAGGAAAAUAAAUAUAAUAAAAACAGUCUGUUCAGAAAAACCCAAGGCCACGAAAAGGAGUUUCAAAACAUGUAGUAUUGUUUUUGACCACUUGAGGUCGACAAGAGUCCACCAAAAUCAGUCAUUCAGUGAGGGACCACAAACAAUGGCACCUUAACUUACGAGUUUAAUUCAUUCCAUGACCAAACUCGUAAUUGUACUUGUAUAUUCAACGAAUGCUUUUAAUUAAUAAACAGGCUGUACUGGAUAAAUUGAAAGUGAAUUGAAAUAAACAGUUUUCUAAAGACAAAGUACGAGUACAUGUUUUACUAAAAAUAAUUUACAUCAAGCCGGUAAAACGGUUUUACCAUGAC